UGCUUGGCCAGCAGGUAUUAUUAGGUGCCCAAUCUGCAUGGAUUUUUACCCACAGAUCAUGCAAAGUGGACGACUGAUUUUGUCAACACUGUGUGGCCAUGUUUUCUGCAGUCAGUGCCUCCCUUUUGCCCUUCAGACUGCCAGCUUUUGCCCAACAUGCAGGACAGAUCUCACUCCACAACAAUACCAUCCCAUUUAUAUAUAAGUACUUGUAUUUUUCAAGGCAGUCUCAGAUGGAUUUUGAGGAAUAGGUGGUACAAAGACUUUUUUCUUUUUGUAUAUAGUUUUUGUUGUAUAAGGUUCCAUUUUCUCUGAAUUUAAUUAUAAAAAAUUUUUAAUUGAUUUAAAUAUAAACAAGUCUGCUCCUCUAUGUUGGAUUCCACUGGUAGACAGAUUUCUUUUAACAGAUACAAAUAAAACCCUUAGUUUUAUCAGUCA